rnacentral:rRNA from 1 species
UACGUAGGGUGCAAGCGUUAAUCGGAAUUACUGGGCGUAAAGCGUACGCAGGCGGCUUUGCAAGACAGGUGUGAAAUCCCCGGGCCUAACCUGGGUACUGCAUUUGUGACUGCAUGGCUAGAGUUUGUCAGAGGGGGGUGGAAUUCCACGUGUAGCAGUGAAAUGCGUAGAUAUGUGGAGGAACACCGAUGGCGAAGGCAGCCCCCUGGGAUGUGACUGACGCUCAUGUACGAAAGCGUGGGGAGCAAACAGG